rnacentral:lncRNA from 1 species
UAGCGAGCUGGCAAGGAUGUGGAGAAAGGGAGCUCUUUUAUAUGCUGUUGGUGGGAAUGUAAAUCAGUAGUCAUUAUGGAGAACAGCAUGGUGAUUCCUCAAAAAACUAAAAUUAGAACCACCAUAAGACCCAGCUAACCCACUUCGAGAUGUGUAUCCUGUGGAAAUAAAGCCUGUGCACCAAAAAGAUGCCUGUACAUCCAUGUUUACUGCAGUGCUAUUCACAGUAGCUAAGGUGUGGAACCAGCCUGGAUGCCCAUCAGUGCAUGAGUGCAUAAAGCAAUAGAGUACAUACACACAAUGGGGUAUUUUUCAGUGAUAAAGGAAAAUGAAGUCCUGUCAUUUGCAGGAAAAUGGUUGGAAACAGAGGACAGGAUGCUAAAUGAAGGGGAGCAUGACUCGACUGGAGACAAAAACCAAAUGCAUUUCAAGAAGAAAAGGGAGAAAAGGGCAGAGCCUCCUCUGUGAUGAGCAUGGGUACCAUAUUCUCCGCAGAGCAUGGCCCGCCCAGCCCAGCUGCUGUACUAGGCCAGAUACCACAUGUCCCUUCAGGAUGGUGGGAGUACUUAACCCUAGUUCCUGGGAGCCAGGUGAGUGAUAGGGCAGCCCCUGGGCUGACAUUCUUGAAUCCCUGUCUCAGUGUUCAGGGCCCCAGGUUUCCCCUGACCUCUGCAUACUGGAUCUUCCUAGGCUGAACAGUUCGACCCCCCAGCUCUGUGUCAUCAUCAGGCCUGCAGCUCAGAUGCAUCUGCCUUCCACCACGGACACAGGCAGUGGCCACAGAGCUCUCAGCUUCCUUGGCAGCCUUCGUUCGGAGUCAUUUUCCUUCAGUGGGCAUCAGCACAGCUCAGUAGUGCCCAGCCAACCUCCUGGUUCUGUGGGCACCACCCCCAUCAUUUUGUGCUUCCAUGGGGCUCUCUUCCCCUGGCCUCCUCUAGUCAUCACCAGUGAAACUGCUGACAACAGAGCCUCCAUCUUGUCUUGGGGGCUGUCCACCCCUGCCCAGUGACCAGGAGGUGGCCUCUUUGUCCCCAAGGUGAACCAUUCUAAUCCUCUCUUCAUCACUUUUCUCAGACCACUUCCUGCAUUCCUGGUGCUGCUCUGGGAUUUCCAGGGAGCAGAUGCCAAGACAGGACCCAGCGUGGAGGAUUUUUAAUAGGGGAACCACCUGUGUGGGAGAAAGCAGGGAGGUGGCCCUAAGGCUGGGAAAGUGCAACCAGGGUGAGGUUCUCACCGUGAGUACAGUAGAGUGGAAAGGCAGUGUGCUGGUCAUGCCAUCUGAGAAAAGCCUGGCAUGGCCUCCAGGGAACCCUUCUACCAUUUCUCAUCAGAGGACCGUCCGAUGUGCCAACAACAAGCCUGCAGAGAUCGCAAUCCUGGGGAGCAGCCCAAAGCUUUGGUGUAAAUGAACCACUGGAUUUCAGCUCUCAUUUGCUGGGCCUUUGGACAAUUCCUCUCCCUACAGCAAGCUCAGUAGGUAUACAAAACACCCUAUGUAACAACUUUUGCCUACAGUCAAAUAAAGAUUGCAGCCCCAA